rnacentral:rRNA from 1 species
AGUGAACGCUGGCGGUAGGCCUAACACAUGCAAGUCGAACGGCAGCACAGUAAGAGCUUGCUCUUACGGGUGGCGAGUGGCGGACGGGUGAGGAAUACAUCGGAAUCUACUUUUUCGUGGGGGAUAACGUAGGGAAACUUACGCUAAUACCGCAUACGACCUACGGGUGAAAGCAGGGGAUCUUCGGACCUUGCGCGAUUGAAUGAGCCGAUGUCGGAUUAGCUAGUUGGCGGGGUAAAGGCCCACCAAGGCGACGAUCCGUAGCUGGUCUGAGAGGAUGAUCAGCCACACUGGAACUGAGACACGGUCCAGACUCCUACGGGAGGCAGCAGUGGGGAAUAUUGGACAAUGGUCGCAAGCCUGAUCCAGCCAUACCGCGUGUGUGAAGAAGGCCUUCGGUUUGUAAAGCCCUUUUGUUGGGAAAGAAAAGCAGCAGGUUAAUACCCCGCUGUUCUGACGGUACCCAAAGAAUAAGCACCGGCUAACUUCGUG